rnacentral:lncRNA from 1 species
GUCAGUUACCGCUGUUCAGCCCUAGGGGAAGUAUGUAGAUGCAGUUGUUCCUCUUGGAUCCUGGUCUUGAGUAAAUGGGCCUGGAUUUUCUUCUGUAUUGACUCCCUCAAGGGCCUGGCCCUGUGUGACUGCCUACAACAUAUGUAAUUAACUUAGUUCUCUAUACUAAUAGUAUCUAUGUUAUAUAGGACACAUGAUAUAUACCUGCAUGCCAUUAUAUAUCACAUAUAUGAAUUGUGUAUCACACAUAUAUCAAUCUGCAUAUCAAGUACAUAUAUCUAUACAACAUAUGCAUAUUCUGUAUUUUCAUACACAGAUGAUGUUUCUUCAGGCUCAACACUAGUACACAUAGGUGCACAAACACGCAUGUGCACAUCACACACACACACACAGUCCUGGCACCAGUAACAGCAGCUUGCAGAACCUGAAGGAAACAGGUGGGAGGUGGUGGUCUUUGAGUCAGUUUUCAUAUCCUGCAGUGGUUGAGGCUUUGGAAGGGCAGCCCCCGAUCUGUUGAUUUUGGCUGCCUGGCCCUUCUACCUCACUCUGUGUGCUCUGCAGGGCUCCUCAGAUGAUUGUGCACAAAGAGAGCAUCCCAUGAGCCUGGGCUCCCAUGGCAUCCAAAGACAAAGACAUAGUGCCCUCACUGGGCUCCCCCUGGGACGCCAUCCUCCAGGCUGCCAAAGACCAGCUCCCGUCCCUGGACUCCGACUCCUCCUUGUCAGACUUUGACGAAGAGGAACCAUUCAUCUUCCAGCGAAACCAACCUGUCCUGAUUCCAGACCUGGCUGAGGAGCUGGCUGAAGACCCUGCUGGUAGAGACAAAUCUGGGACCUGGGUCCCUGGAGCUAAAAAACCUCCACCUGAGGUCUGUGGGACGCAGGCUAAGGGAACCCAUGAUGUCUGGCACCUUGCUGGCAGAAGGGAGUAUGUGUCUGUCCACAGCUCUCGGGACUCUAAACAUCAGUAUGGGUCCACAGUGCCUAAAACUGCUGGUCUAGCAUGUGGUACACUCAGUCCUUCCACCUUCAGGGACAAACCAAAGUAUUCAGGGGCCCAACUGCUAAGCAUGUGCAUCUCUUUUCCCUAAGACGCCCAGCACACUUCUCUGUCUGAUUUUGCCCUCUGCUCUCCCUCUAGUCCCCUCCUUUCCUGUUUUCU